CUUUCUGAUGAUGCAAGUCAUAUUUGUUGUAAUUGAAUACAAAAUUUCACAUGUUUUGGCUAUAAUAGAAUUCAAUAGAAGAAAAUCACUAAUCACCCGUUUUCAGGAGUUAGCAGCAAAAUAGCGAUGGCCCCACUUCAAAUAUCUAUUAAGCAAAUAAAACUACAUCAAUUGUAAAAGUUUGAUGCUUUUAACCUCAACGGGAACUACUGAUCAAUAAUUUUACACAUAUCCGCCUCACUAUUUUGAAAUAGUGCAAUGAAUCGUUAUAUCUCAAGGUUAAUCUGACAUUCAAUUUUUCAUGCUCAGUAGCCUGAGAUUGAACUGACGCCUUAAACACAU